GGGGAAUAUUGCGCAAUGGGGGAAACCCUGACGCAGCGACGCCAUGUGAGGGAAGAAGGCUUUCGGGUCGUAAACCUCUGUCGGGAAGGAAGAACCCCCCAGGUCCGAAUAGGGCCUGGGGCUGACGGUACCUUAUUAGAAAGCCACGGCUAACUACGUGCCAGCAGCCGCGGUAAUACGUAGGUGGCAAGCGUUGUCCGGAAUUAUUGGGCGUAAAGCGCGCGCAGGUGGUUUCUUAAGUCUGAUGUGAAAGCCCACGGCUUAACCGUGGAGGGUCAUUGGAAACUGGGAGACUUGAGUGCAGAAGAGGAAAGUGGAAUUCCAAGUGUAGCGGUGAAAUGCGUAGAGAUUUGGAGGAACACCAGUGGCGAAGGCGACUUUCUGGUCUGCAACUGACGCUGAGGCGCGAAAGCAUGGGGAGCAAACA
rnacentral:rRNA from 1 species